GAGUUGGUGGGUGGUGGGUGGCGCGUGAGUUAUGCGAGUCUGAUGAACCUCGGUUCCACUGAUCCCGGAGAGACUUCAAAAACAUGAAUGGAUGUACAAAGUCCACACAUAUACCUACAAUGAAUAUAAAUUGGUUCGAGUUGCAAAAUUCCGAAUUAGAAACGGCUGAAGUGCAAUGAAAAAUGACAGAUUUUGAGCAACGUAUAAAAAAAGUAACUGGGAAAAGUGGGAGUGAAAGAAGGAAGAGAGCGCAACCAGCGAGAGAGAGAGAACCGAAUUUUGCAGUGUGAUGGCGAAGGUGAAUACACUGUGACCAGUGGGAGAGAAAAGAGAGCGAGAGAGAGAUAACCAGCGAGAGCGAGUCUUCGAGAGAAGAGCAAAAGCCAACCGGCGAAACCAACUCAAGUUCUACACUGCGCAAAAUUGAACUUGACUGCUAAACUUAAGCAAAUACCCUACAUUUUCUCGAUUUAAGACAAAUCCAAAUUGAAUGAAAGUUAAGCUUUUAAAUAACUUGAAUAAAAAAUAACUCGAA